rnacentral:lncRNA from 1 species
CUGUCCUCCUGAGCCAGAAUGCAGACCGUGGCUACUUUUGCCCCUGCAUGUCUGUUCUGAUUCCUUUCUUCACAUGUGAUGCCUCACUAUUCUUCUGCUUUUAAUAUGGAGCUUCAUUCUCUAAGCUAAAAGGCCAAGCACAGAUUCACCUGCCAAUGAAGCUCUUUAAAUUAUCUCUUCUUUCUCAGGACUCACUGGCUAUCAGACAUUACUUUAGGUGAAGACUUUCCAGUCUGACUUCCCUUACCCGAGGUAGGUAUUUAUUCUUUCCUCAUUUCACAGGACUUUGCAAAUCCCACUAUUAUGGUAGAUAGAAUAUUAAAA